rnacentral:rRNA from 1 species
ACGAACGCUGGCGGCAGGCUUAACACAUGCAAGUCGAACGAAGCCUUCGGGCUUAGUGGCGCACGGGGUGAGUAGCACGUGGGAACCUACCUCCUUGGUACGGGAAUAACUCCGGGGAAACUGGAGCCUAAUACCCGCAUACGCCCCCAUUCGGAGUGGAUUGGGUUGGGGGAAAAGAUUUAUCGCCCGAGGGGAUGGGCCCCGCGCCCCGAUUAGCCUAGUUGGUGAAGGUAAAGGGCUUACCAAGGGCAUCCGAUCGGGUACCUUGGUCUGAGAGGGAUGAUCAGGGCACACCUGGGACCUGAGACACGGCCCAGACUCCUACGGGAGGCAGCAGUGGGGAAUAUUGGACAAUGGGGGCAACCCUGAUCCAGCCAUGCCGCGUGAGUGAUGAAGGCCUUAGGGCUGUAAAGCUCUUUCACCCACGACGAUGAUGACGGUAGUGGGAGAAGAAGCCCCGGCUAACUCCGUGCCAGCAGCCGCGGUAAUACGGAGGGGGCAAGCGUUGUUCGGAAUUACUGGGCGUAAAGGGCGCGUAGGCGGUAUGUCGCGUCAGGUGUGAAAGCCCCGGGCUCAACCUGGGAUGUGCACUUGAUACGGGCAUGCUUGAGUUCGAGAGAGGUGAGUGGAAUUCCCAGUGUAGAGGUGAAAUUCGUAGAUAUUGGGAAGAACACCAGCGGCGAAGGCGGCUCACUGGCUCGAAACUGACGCUGAGGCGCGAAAGCGUGGGGAGCAAACAGGAUUAGAUACCCUGGUAGUCCACGCCGUAAACGAUGUGCGCUAGCCGUCGGGGUGCUUGCAUCUCGGUGGCGAAGUUAACGCGAUAAGCGCACCGCCUGGGGAGUACGGUCGCAAGAUAAUAAGACACACUAUAGGGUCAU